GCAGGGUCUACAAGAAAUAAAGAGUCUGAAUAAGUGUAGCUUCGAGUUGUUCGAUGCUAGUGGAGAAUCCAUUCAGGCCGAAGCCAUAGGAAUCAGGAUUUUUUAGCCUGAAUGGAAUCAAAAUUUUGAAGUUACCUUCAGACAAAAUUUUGAAACUGAAGACCUAUUAUUAUUUUUUUAAUAUUGUUAAAAAUAUUAUUUCAGUACUAUUGUUAUUGGAACAA
rnacentral:lncRNA from 1 species